rnacentral:rRNA from 1 species
UACGUAGGGGGCAAGCGUUGUCCGGAAUUAUUGGGCGUAAAGAGCGUGUAGGCGGUCCGGUAAGUCGGCUGUGAAAGUCCAGGGCUCAACCCUGGGAUGCCGGUCGAUACUGCCGGACUAGAAUUCGGUAGGGGAGACUGGAAUUCCUGGUGUAGCGGUGGAAUGCGCAGAUAUCAGGAGGAACACCGGUGGCGAAGGCGGGUCUCUGGGCCGACAUUGACGCUGGAGGAGCGAAAGCGUGGGGGAGCGAACAGG